AGAGUUUGAUCAUGGCUCAGAUUGAACGCUGGCGGCAUGCCUUACACAUGCAAGUCGAACGGCAGCGNNNGGAACCUGGCGGCGAGUGGCGAACGGGUGAGUAAUAUAUCGGAACGUACCCUGGAGUGGGGGAUAACGUAGCGAAAGUUACGCUAAUACCGCAUACGAUCUAAGGAUGAAAGUGGGGGAUUCGCAAGAACCUCAUGCUCCUGGAGCGGCCGAUAUCUGAUUAGCUAGUUGGUGGGGUAAAGGCUCACCAAGGCUUCGAUCAGUAGCUGGUCUGAGAGGACGACCAGCCACACUGGAACUGAGACACGGUCCAGACUCCUACGGGAGGCAGCAGUGGGGAAUUUUGGACAAUGGGCGCAAGCCUGAUCCAGCAAUGCCGCGUGAGUGAAGAAGGCCUUCGGGUUGUAAAGCUCUUUUGUCAGGGAAGAAACGGUGAGAGCUAAUAUCUUUUGCUAAUGACGGUACCUGAAGAAUAAGCACCGGCUAACUACGUGCCAGCAGCCGCGGUAAUACGUAGGGUGCAAGCGUUAAUCGGAAUUACUGGGCGUAAAGCGUGCGCAGGCGGUUUUGUAAGUUUGUCGUGAAAGCCCCGGGCUCAACCUGGGAAUUGCGAUGAAGACUGCAAGGCUUGAAUCUGGCAGAGGGGGGUAGAAUUCCACGUAGCAGUGAAAUGCGUAGAGAUGUGGAGGAACACCGAUGGCGAAGGCAGCCCCCUGGGUCAAGAUUGACGCUCAUGCACGAAAGCGUGGGGAGCAAACAGGAUUAGAUACCCUAGUAGUCC
rnacentral:rRNA from 1 species